UACGCAGGUCCCGAGCGUUGUCCGGAUUUAUUGGGCGUAAAGCGAGCGCAGGUGGUUUAUUAAGUCUGGUGUAAAAGGCAGUGGCUCAACCAUUGUAUGCAUUGGAAACUGGUAGACUUGAGUGAAGUAGAGGUUGGCGGAAUUCCGAGUGUAGCGGUGAAAUGCGUAGAUAUUCGGAGGAACACCGGUGGCGAAGGCGGCCAACUGGGCUUUAACUGACGCUGAGGCUCGAAAGUGUGGGGAGCAAACAGG
rnacentral:rRNA from 1 species